CCUACGGGGUGCAGCAGUGGGGAAUAUUGCACAAUGGGGGAAACCCUGAUGCAGCGACGCCGCGUGAGUGAAGAAGUAUCUCGGUACGUAACGCUCUAUCAGCAGGGAAGAAAAUGACGGUACCUGACUAAGAAGCCCCGGCUAACUACGUACCAGCAGCCGCGGUAAUACUUAGGGGGCAAGCGUUAUCCGGAUUUACUGGGUGUAAAGGGAGCGUAGACGGCAGCACAAGUCUGGAGUGAAAUCCCGGGGCUUAACCCCGGAACUGCUUUGGAAACUGUGCGGCUGGAGUGCAGGAGGGGUAAGCGGAAUUCCUAGUGUAGCGGUGAAAUGCGUAGAUAUUAGGAGGAACACCGGUGGCGAAGGCGGCUUACUGGACUGUAACUGACGUUGAGGCUCGAAAGCGUGGGGAGCAAACAGGAUUAGAUACCCGGGUAGUC
rnacentral:rRNA from 1 species